UUAUCAUUUCAUAUCACCAUCACUGCAGAGUAAAAUCUAUGGAUGGAAAACACAGAGGAAAAUGCUCAGUGAAGAUUUUUACUUUCUUUCAAUCCCAGUUUGUCCAUUUCAGCAGCUCAUCUGAAUGUUUCAAGCUGUUAUGUUUCUAACCAGCCCUGCACAGUGAGUCACGUUAUGUGGUAAACCCUGGUAGUCCACGCACAGCUAACGUGUCUCUGAGCCGUGCUGGUUCAGCGCUAUGCAAACUGACUCACCUUAUUUUCCUUUGUCUAACUGAAAAGAAGCAACAAGUUGUAUGACAGGAUAAAUUAUGAAAUGUUGAACACGGUGUGCAUCCACAGAAUCCAGCUGAGCUACAGAGGAGCCUAAUGCCGUUCAUGUGCCUGCUUCUGUACCUGCACCGUCGCAGAAGGAACAACACCAACACCGUCACAAGACUGGCACCAAAAAUCACUGCGUCUGAGAGACAUGGAGGGGAACAGAGAGCAGUGCACAGCAGACAAAACUUCAAACAGUGAAUCCCCAAAAUGCAUUUUGAGAACACUUUUCUGUGUGAAGAAUGCCAUCGACAAGUAUUAUAUAUGGCCUUGCUUCUCAUCUUCCAUCAAGUCUUCUACUGAAUCAGCUACAACAGUGAACAAGAUAUAUAGAUUGAUAUGAAGAAAACUGUUCAUAAGGAAACACCAAAUGGGGAAGUUGCUGUUUCAGGGAUCUUCUGAAUGACUGCUUAAGACUUAGGAUCGACAUUCCCAAAUUGCUAAACUUGAGCAAGUCAAAAGGAAGGAUAAGGGGUCUAAGAUUAGAAAGAAAAACCGGGACGAGAGACGCCAACUUCAUAGAUGUGCUUUAAAAUAAGGACAAAUAAGCAAGUGGAAAGCAACAGGAGUUUGGUGCGGAUGGUGUGAUGCGAAGGUAAUGGACUCAGUCUUGACAGUAAAUGAUACAGAUUGCCAUGGAAGUUGGAUCACAUCCAAAACAGCCUCUAUUAACUAUGCAACCAUAUAUUUGAACCAUGAAUUUCUACAGAAGCAAAGAGACCCUCCAUAAUUUGCACA